AGCUGCAGUUUAUUUUACACAUCUCUCGUGUUUAGUUGGCAAUUUUCUUGUAAAAUAACUUUAAGUAACGCCGCUUGCGAGAUUUUUUUUAAUUGUUUGAAAUUCUUGAAAUUAAUAAAACGGUGUGAAAAUUGUUUUAAAAUAAGCUAGUGUCAUGCAAUAAUAAGUUCAUCUUGAAAAUCUGAAAUUAUAAAUCAAGGCCUUAAAUAGGAAUCUAAAUCCAAAGCAAAAGUUUGCUACAUCAGUGCACAUAAAGGAACGUCAAACGAAUGUGUGUCGCAAAGACCGCUAAAAAGUGUAGAGCAUAGAACGCAAACGAAAUCGGAGUUCAAUAACAUAAAUUAUUUAAGAAAAAAAAAAAAACAGCAGCGCAGAUUAUAAUUGCUGUGGUGUUCGAGUGUGUGCGGUUUCGAAUUGAGGCUGUGUUUGGGAUUUGUGCAUAAAUUCCACGUGAAUGUCUUCACAAUCGUCGACUCGUUACUUGCCAAUAACCACAACAAUGGAUAACCCCGCUCUUUCAGGGUCCAGUGGUGAUGUGGAAGCCGACAGCAACUCCGUUGAAGCUAGCCUACCCGCCACCUGUUCGUCGCAGCAAUUAAUGCCUCCUCCAUCAGACACGGAUAGCGCUGUUUUACAACAGCCAUCCACCGGAAUCACGAAGACACAAUGGUUUACGGUGGUUGUGCUCUGCUUUGUUAAUCUAAUCAACUAUAUGGAUCGCUUUACCAUAGCAGGUGUUUUAACGGAUAUACAAGAUGACUUUAAUAUCGGUGACGAUGAUGGCGGUCUCCUACAAACCGCCUUUGUGCUCUCCUAUAUGAUUUGUGCUCCAGUAUUCGGCUAUCUCGGUGAUCGUUAUUCGCGUCGUUGGAUUAUGGCCACCGGUGUACUGCUAUGGUCCACAACAACGUUGCUCGGCUCGUUUAUGGGUAGCUUCGGUAGCUUCAUUACAUUCCGUGCAUUGGUGGGCAUUGGUGAAGCUUCUUAUAGUACUAUAGCGCCUACAAUUAUAUCGGACUUAUUCGUACAUGAUUUACGUUCGAAAAUGCUGGCGUUAUUCUAUUUUGCGAUACCUGUGGGUUCAGGAUUCGGUUAUAUAGUCGGCUCCGAGACCGCACGUUUGGCCAACGACUGGCGUUGGGCCUUGCGUGUCACACCUAUUCUUGGCAUUGUGGCUGUUGCGUUGAUACUAUUAACCAAAGAACCCGAGCGUGGUGAGAGCGAAGGCUCACACAAUUUGGAACCUACUAGCUACACUGAAGAUAUAAAGGACUUAAUGAAGAAUCAUUCAUUUAUGCUUUCGACAGCCGGUUUCACAUGCGUUGCCUUCGUAACGGGCGCUUUGGCUUGGUGGGGUCCGAAAUUCAUAUAUCUAGGCAUCAAGAUGCAGCCAGGCAAUGAGGAACUAUCGUUGAAUGACGUUUCGCUACGUUUUGGCAUUAUUACAAUGACAGCUGGUCUAAUUGGUGUACCGCUCGGACCAAUUUUGUCGCGUGCGGUUGCCAGUUACAAAAACAACGCCGAUCCCUUGGUGUGCGCCUUUGGAUUAUUUUUUAGCUCGCUUUUCCUUGCUGCCGCGAUGCUGUUUGUCACAAAAUACAUCAUAGCCUCGUAUAUUUUAAUGUUCAUCGGUCAAUUGUGUUUGAAUCUAAAUUGGGCACUUGUGGCUGACAUUUUACUGUACGUUGUGGUGCCGACGCGCCGUUCCACUGCUGAAGCCUUCCAAAUUCUACUGUCACAUGCGUUGGGUGAUGCUGGUAGCCCUUAUUUCGUUGGCUUGCUUUCGGAAGGAAUCAAGCGUCAUUUGCGCACCACUGCAACUCAAGCAGUUCAGACCAACGAAUUCAGUAUCUCCAUGCCUAGUAUGUCCUUGAGAUUGGAGAAUAACAGUGAUAAUAUCACUGACAGCUUACUGUCCGGAGAUGCUACAACGGCAGCGACAACGAAUCUCUUAGCGGAAGCUGCCAGUGCAGUGAUGGCGAAUGUCACUGACUUGGCUGCGAAUGCUACAAACUUUUUAUACCAAAAUGCCACGGACUUUGUUACGGAUGCAACGAAUAUGUUGCCAUUGAAUAGUACCCAUUUAAGUGACUAUUUCCUUGAUGAGAAAUUGUUGGGAGGGGAUAUUGAGGACACCGAUAGGACAAAAUUCAAAGCAUUGCAGUAUUCGCUGUUUUCUACGAGCUUCAUUGAAGUUUUGGGUGCCGUUUUCUUCUUUCUAACUGCCAUUUAUAUAUUGAAAGAUAAGCGACGAGCUGCGCGGGCAACACUUGCUAACGAACCAAACGAUGUUAGCUAUACAGCUAGAAUAUAUAAAGAAUUCGGUUUCGAAGAUUCCGAAUGUAUCGUCCUUUGCACUGAUAUUACACGUGAUCAGCGGGCAUAAGGAACAAAACAAUAAUUAGAAGCAAACGAAAAUUGGCGAAAAGUGUAUUUUUUUAAACUUCGUCGCGGGCAACCCAGCAUCUCAAGUGUGAAGUGCACUUCCAAAAAAUUAUACAAAUGAAUAAUGUAUAAGCCACUUAACCAACCAGCCAGUCAACCCACAAGCAAUUCAUGUAUAACAAUCGCAUCCCAACUUUAUGCCGGAAUGUGUAGCGCGCAAGGCAGACAUAUGACUGAAAUAUUAGUUCUAACUAAUUAUUUAGUAGUAAUAAUGAUUAUAAUCAUAGAAUCAUGUGUGCCUCAAGAAGUGGGUGUGUUCCUAUUAGACGAGUGUGUAUGGAUGGAUGAUCAUGCAAACAUCACAUAUAAACAUAUUUAAAUACAUUUGUAUAUACAUAUAUUUAGAUAUUUAGUAAUAAACAUUGGUCAAUCAUUCUCAUUUGCAAUCGCUUAAACGUUAAGAUGAUUCCUAUUAUGUAUUUAAUUGUAUUAUAAUUUUGCUAUUGUCAAAAUGUCAUCAAUCAAUGGAAUGCGUGCACCACAUAAAAAUAUGCAUACAUACAAAAAUAUGCAUAGUACAGAGUGUGUAUACAUUAUGAUCAGGCAAAUGCUCUGUCGCAAAAUGUAGUGCUGAAAUUAUAUAAAUAAACAAGAUCAUACCAAUUCUUACACAAAACAUCUAGUAAUUUGAUGGAAGAUAAAAAAAACAGCUUGACAUAUGCAAGCACUCUAAUACUAAAUUUUGUUACGUAACUUGACGUUUAACGCAAUGAGAUAAAAUAUUUUGUUAUUUUUUGUUUUUUCUUUUUUGUAAGUCAUUAAAUCAUUAAAUCGCUCAUUGCUCCCUGUGGUAUGCGCAUCCUAACUUUACAGAAAAUUCGAAAUGUUAAAAUUAGUUAUGAAGUAUAGUAUUUAAUCCAUAUAGAUUUUAAGUGAAUUUUAUGUUAACUUUGACAUUGAGGUUUGUAAAAACAAAGGUGUUUUCUAAGCACCAAUUGCACACUAAUGUAGUUAGAAUGCUAAUUUUUAGAUAAAAUAUUAAUAAUUUCAAAAUGUACUAAGGGAAUAAGCGGUGAAUUACGAAAUGGGUGUGUACUACUAUUACUAUUGUUUACAAUUCUUAGAUCUUCCAAUGCUAUUUUCAAGUUACAGUUGGCAUAUUAGAAUUUUUAAAACUCCUACUCAAUGAAAAUCCAAUGACAACAUAAUUAAAUGAACAAUCUAUUAUACAUAUAUAUAUGCUUAAAUAGUUAAUUGAAAAAAAAAAAAAAAACAGAGUUGAAAUUUAUAAACUCACGUAUGCAUGCCCCUUCCCUAUACUAACCUCUCAAGCCCUUGGCCACAUUUGCAUGUGGAUGUUUAGUUUUCUAUAUAAUUAUAAAUAUUGUAAACAAUAAAAAGAACAAAAAUUUCAAAAUGGCUUAUUCUAUAUAGAGUCUCUCCUUCAACAUGAGGUAGACAAUUAUAUGAUUUUGCUGUACUGUUAAUAUUAUUUUCGAUUUACAGUAAGAUAUAUGAAAAACAUAAAAAUUGUCCCUGAAGAGGUUAAUGAAACUGUUAGUUUUAAAAGUUUGGCAUUGAAGCGGAAUUCAUGAAAUAAGACUGUAUUAGGGUUUGUUAUAUUUUUUUAAAAGCAAAACAAAAUAUUGUAUUGAAUUAAACUUAUAUAUACAUAUUAGGAAAUACAUACAUAUAAAAGUAUUUAAGUAUAGCAUAAUUAUGGGGUUUAUUGAAUGCUAAUAAAUA